rnacentral:rRNA from 1 species
AUUGAACGCUGGCGGCCGGCCUAACACAUGCAAGUCGAACGAGUGGCGGACGGGUGAGAAAUGUCUGGGAAACUGCCUGAUGGAGGGGGAUAACUACUGGAAACGGUAGCUAAUACCGCAUACCAUUCACUGUGACCAGAUGGGAUUAGGUUGUUGGUGGGGUAACGGCUCACCAAGGCGACGUACCCGAGCUGGUCUGAUAGGAUGACCAGCCACACUGGAACUGAGACACGGUCCAGACUCCUACGGGAGGCAGCAGUGGGGAAUAUUGCACAAUGGGCGCAAGCCUGAUGCAGCCAUGCCGCGUGUAUGAAGAAGGCCUUCGGGUUGUAAAGUACUUUCAGCGGGGAGGCGUUACCCGCAGAAGAAGCACCGGCUAACUCCGUGCCAGCAGCCGCGGUAAUUC